GAUGAACGCUGGCGGCGUGGAUAAGGCAUGCAAGUCGAACGCUCCGACCUCGGUCGGAGAGUGGCGAACGGGUUAGUAACACGUAGGAAUCUAUCCUUGUCUCGGGCAUAAUCCCGCGAAAGCGGGACUAAUUCCCGAUAGUCCCUUACGGGUAAAGGUUUCCCGACCUCGUGUCGGGGUUCUGGAUGAGGAAGAGCCUGCGUCCUAUCAGCUUGUUGGUAAGGUAAUGGCUUACCAAGGCUAUGACGGGUAGGGGGAGUGAGAGCUUGACCCCCAACAAUGGGACUGCGAUACGGCCCAUACACCUACGGGUGGCAGCAGUCGAGAAUCUUCCGCAAUGGGCGAAAGCCUGACGGAGCGACGCCGCGUGAGUGAUGAAGCCCUUCGGGGUGUAAAGCUCUUUUCUGGAGGAAGAAUAUUUAGUUUACUAUUUUGACGGUACUCCAGGAAUAAGGGGCCGCUAAACUCGUGCCAGCAGCGGCGGUAAUACGAGUGCCCCAAGCGUUAUCCGGAAUUACAGGGCGUAAAGCGUGAGUAGGCGGUUUUGAUAGUGAUUGGUUAAAUUCCGGGGCUUAACUCCGGAGCGGCCAGUCAAACGUCAAGACUAGAGCAAGUGAGAGGCUGAUGGAACUCUUCGAGUAGGGGUGAAAUCCGUUGAUAUGAAGGGGAACACCAAAGGCGAAGGCAAUCAGCUGGUGCUUAGCUGACGCUGAGUCACGAAAGCGUGGGUAGCGAACGAGAUUAGAUACCUCGGUAGUCCACGCCCUAAACGAUGCCAACUAGUCGUUCGAAGUAUCGACCCUUCGAGUGGCGAAGCUAACGCGUUAAGUUGGCCGCCUGGGAAGUACGGCCGCAAGGCUAAAACUCAAAGGAAUAGACGGGGAGUUGCACAAGCGGUGGACCAUGUGGUUUAAUUCGACAUUAAGCGAGGAACCUUACCAGGGCUAGACAUCCUGAUGAAAUCUCCGUGAAAGCGGGGACUUCUCACAAGGACAUCAGGGUCAGGUGGUGCACGGUUGUCGUCAGCAUGUGGCGUGAGCUGCCCCCUUAAAUGGGUUAACAUGCGCAACCCUCACCCUGUGUUAUACGUGUCACAGGGAACUGCCUCCGUAUAGGGGGAGGAAGGCGAGGAUGACGUCAAAUCAGCGUGUCCUUUGAUGCUCUGGGCUACACACGUGGUACAAUGGUCAGGACAAUGGGUUGCCAAGCCGCAAGGCGGAGCUAAUCCCAUCAAACCUGGCCCCAGUUCGGAUUGGGGGCUGCAAUUCGCCCCCAUGAAGUCGGAAUCGCUAGUAAUCGCGGAUCAGCCACGCCGCGGUGAAUACGUUCUCAACUCUUGUACUCACCGCCCGUCAAGUCAGGGAAGUUGGUAAUGCCCGAAGUCUCCCCGCAAUACUGUGGGGGGCCUAAGGUAGGAUCAGCAACCAGGACU
rnacentral:rRNA from 1 species